CCUCUGUCCAAGGUUGGAUACGCCAUGCUAGGAGAUACUUCCCUCCAUGUGGGGACAUAGAGGUUGCCUCUGUCCAAGGUUGGAUACACCAUGCUAGGAGAUA